rnacentral:rRNA from 1 species
GGGGAAUAUUGGGCAAUGGACGCAAGUCUGACCCAGCAACGCCGCGUGAAGGAAGAAGGCUUUCGGGUUGUAAACUUCUUUUAAGGGGGAAGAGUAGAAGACGGUACCCCUUGAAUAAGCCACGGCUAACUACGUGCCAGCAGCCGCGGUAAUACGUAGGUGGCAAGCGUUGUCCGGAUUUACUGGGUGUAAAGGGCGUGUAGCCGGGAAGGUAAGUCAGAUGUGAAAUCUGGGGGCUCAACCUCCAAACUGCAUUUGAAACUGCAUAUCUAGAGUGCAGGAGAGGAAAGCGGAAUUCCUAGUGUAGCGGUGAAAUGCGUAGAUAUUAGGAAGAACACCAGUGGCGAAGGCGACUUUCUGGUCUGCAACUGACGCUGAGGCGCGAAAGCAUGGGGAGCAAACA